UACGGGGGGGGCGAGCGUUGUCCGGAUUUACUGGGCGUAAAGCGCGUGUAGGCGGCGAUUUAAGUUCGUGGUGAAAGGCGGGGGCUUAACCCCCGGAGCCGGCCACGGAAACUGGAUUGCUUGAGUGUCGGAGAGGGAUGCGGAAUUCCAGGUGUAGCGGUGAAAUGACGUAGAUAUCUGGAGGAACACCGGUGGCGAAGGCGGCAUCCUGGACCGGCAUUGACGCUGAGGCGCGAAAGCCAGGGGAGCAAAGCGGG
rnacentral:rRNA from 1 species